rnacentral:rRNA from 1 species
CCUACGGGUGGCAGCAGUGGGGAAUAUUGGGCAAUGGGCGCAAGCCUGACCCAGCAACGCCGCGUGAAGGAAGAAGGCUCUCGGGUUGUAAACUUCUUUUCUGAGGGACGAAGAAAGUGACGGUACUUCAUGAAUAAGCCACGGCUAACUACGUGCCAGCAGCCGCGGUAAUACGUAGGUGGCAAGCGUUAUCCGGAUUUACUGGGUGUAAAGGGCGUGUAGGCGGGAAAGCAAGUCAGAUGUGAAAACUCAGGGCUCAACCCUGGGCCUGCAUUUGAAACUGUUGUUCUUGAGUGCUGGAGAGGCAGUCGGAAUUCCGUGUGUAGCGGUGAAAUGCGUAGAUAUACGGAGGAACACCAGUGGCGAAGGCGGAUUGCUGGACAAUAACUGACGCUGAGGCGCGAAAGCGUGGGGAGCAAACAGGAUUAGAUACCCUAGUAGUC